CAUAGGCACUGAGUAAGCUUAGGAAGCUACUCUCAUUUCCAGGUGUUGUAUAGAAGAAAGACAUGUUUCCCGCGGCCACCUUAUUUUUUAAUACCCUUGCAGCAUCACUAAGGGCUGGCCACAGUGGUUCGAUCGCGAGUUGACAGCCCCGACUACCAAAGAUGUUUUGUCAAGGAAACAUCGUUUUUGACCUUACAGCAGCGUGCUGAAAGGGCUUAAGCGUGUGUCUUAUUAGGAUUUUGCAUGGACUUCCGGCUGAAUACUUAGAAGAAGCACACAUUAUUUUAUUUUAUUUUUUAAGCACGAGCUGCUUGUAGCAUGAAGAUGUAUGCAUGAUCCCCUUAAACAAGAGUUGUCGUUAAUGCGUUAAGCCUUCAGGAACAUGAAUUGGAGAGCCAGUGCCGUAAGCUAUGAGACCUUCUCCUUGACAAAUAAGCGAUUGAGAAUGGCGCUCGGUGCAUGGUGGAAACAUCGAAAGGAUCAUCUAAUAGUGCUUCUUCUUUUCUGUUUUAGUCAUACACCGUGAUCUAAUUGAGGCUGCAUUUCUUUGUUGUAGGGGCUGGCUGGCUCAGUGUGUAGUAGCUUUUCCUUUUGAAACUGUAGGGUGUAUCGAUCUUUAGCAUAGUUGACUGCAUUUGGGCUCGAGUUGUACCCCUUUUGUUUGGAGAGCCUAAAGCUCAUGUUGUUGGAAACUUGGAACACAACAUUGUUGCAUACUUUCUGUCAUAACUUUUGAUGUAAAAUGCUUGAGAUGUUGAGCUUCGGCCUGUUUUGUACGCUUUGCUCGGUUGGAAACAAUGAAAUGCAUGAAUUGUUGCAAUU